rnacentral:rRNA from 1 species
AACGAACGCUGGCGGCAUGCCUAACACAUGCAAGUCGAACGAUGCUUUCGGGCAUAGUGGCGCACGGGUGCGUAACGCGUGGGAAUCUGCCCUUGGGUUCGGAAUAACAGUGAGAAAUUGCUGCUAAUACCGGAUGAUGUCUUCGGACCAAAGAUUUAUCGCCCAGGGAUGAGCCCGCGUAGGAUUAGCUAGUUGGUGGGGUAAUGGCCUACCAAGGCGACGAUCCUUAGCUGGUCUGAGAGGAUGAUCAGCCACACUGGGACUGAGACACGGCCCAGACUCCUACGGGAGGCAGCAGUGGGGAAUAUUGGACAAUGGGCGCAAGCCUGAUCCAGCAAUGCCGCGUGAGUGAUGAAGGCCUUAGGGUUGUAAAGCUCUUUUACCCGGGAUGAUAAUGACAGUACCGGGAGAAUAAGCGCCGGCUAACUCCGUG